CAGUGUCAGACACAAACUGCAUUAUAGGUAUCCAAAGCAUGGAGGAGUUUACUCAGAGCUAGAUACUUCUUUUUCACUUCUUCCUUAGGACCUUUUAUACUUGACAAAAAGAGUGAAGGUCAUGAUGCCUAAUGAUGAUGUCACUGAAAACUCUCAUGGACUACCUGAUGAACAACUUUCCUUACAUUGACAAGAUUCAAGUUUGCACUUUAAAGGCUCCACCAAGGGACGACUGACACUGAAGCAGACGCGCACGGUCAAAUAUCAGAUGGAGCUCAGUGAGUCUCACUGAAGAACUGAAGGAAGGACUGAGAGAGGUUCUUCUUGAAAUUGUUUGAAGAAGUGAAAACUGGUAUGUGUUUAUUUGUUCACAUUCAUAAAGCAUGGCCAUUGCUCUAGUGAUGGACAGAUGGCACAACUUUUAAGAGGCAAACUGACUUUCUUUCCAAAGAAAUAAA